UACGUAGGGUGCAGGCGUUAAUCGGAAUUACUGGGCGUAAAGCGUGCGCAGGCGGCUCCUUAAGUCAGAUGUGAAAGCCCCGGGCUUAACCUGGGAACUGCGUUUGAAACUGGGGGGCUAGAGUGUGGAAGAGGGGGUGGAAUUCCAGGUGUAGCAGUGAAAUGCGUAGAGAUCUGGAGGAACACCGAUGGCGAAGGCAGCCCCCUGGGCUAACACUGACGCUCAUGCACGAAAGCGUGGGGAGCAACGAGG
rnacentral:rRNA from 1 species